rnacentral:rRNA from 1 species
UACGGAGGGGGCUAGCGUUGUUCGGAAUUACUGGGCGUAAAGCGCACGUAGGCGGCUUUGUAAGUUAGAGGUGAAAGCCCAGGGCUCAACCCUGGAAUUGCCUUUAAGACUGCAUCGCUUGAACAUCGGAGAGGUAAGUGGAAUUCCGAGUGUAGAGGUGAAAUUCGUAGAUAUUCGGAAGAACACCAGGGGCGAAGGCGACUUACUGGACGAUUGUUGAAGCUGAGGUGCGAAAGCGUGGGGAGCAAACAGG